AACGAACGCUGGCGGCAGGCCUAACACAUGCAAGUCGAGCGAGGACUUCGGUCCUAGCGGCGGACGUGGGGGUAACGCGUGGGAACGUGCCCUUUGCUUCGGAAUAGCCCUGGGAAACUGGGAGUAAUACCGGAUGAGCCCUUUGGGGGUAAGAUUUAUCGGCGCAGGAUCGGCCCGCGUUGGAUUAGGUAGUUGGUGGGGUAAUGGCCUACCAAGCCGACGAUCCUUAGCUGGUUGGGGAGGAUGACCAGCCACACUGGGAAUGCGACCCGGCCCAGACUCCUACGGGAGGCAGCAGUGGGGAAUCUUAGACAAGGGGGGAAACCGUGAUCGAGCCACGCCGGGGGAGCGAUGAAGGCCUUAGGGUUGUAAAGCUCUUUCAGCUGGGAAGAUAAUGACGGUACCAGCAGAAGAAGCCCCGGCUAACUCCGUG
rnacentral:rRNA from 1 species